rnacentral:misc_RNA from 1 species
GUUCUAUAUCACUUUACCGCUCUUCAAAGUGAUUGCCUUGCACUAUUCUUUGGAUUCAUUUCAGGUUGGCUAGGUAGCUGGCCUUGCUAGAAGAGCUGGUUUGCUGAGCAAUCUGAUUUUUAAGCAUUUUUUUAUGAGUUGCCAAUUGGUCUAUUUUGAAAGUAAGUUGUUUGAUCAUCUCACUUUGUUGCUACUAAGCUGCCAAAAAGCUUUCCAUCAUAGAUUUCAUAGUCAUCUUUGGUUUAGGUUGUUGAGGUUGAGGUGGUUGUG